rnacentral:tRNA from 1 species
GCCUGGGUGGCUAAGUUGGUUAAGUGUCUGAUUUCAGCUCAGGUCAUGAUCUCACACUUAGUGAGUUCGAGCCCCACAUUGGGCU